ACCAGGAUGGAUGGCCGAGAGGUUAAGGCAUUGGACUUAAGAUCCAAUGGACAUAUGUCCUCGUGGGUUCGAACCCCACUCCUGGUA